GACGAACGCUGGCGGCGUGCUUAACACAUGCAAGUCGAACGGAAAGGCCCUGCUUGCCGGGUACUCGAGUGGCGAACGGGUGAGUAACACGUGGGUGAUCUGCCCUGCACUUCGGGAUAAGCCUGGUAAACUGGGUCUAAUACCGGCUAGGAGCCAUUUUUAGUGUGAUGGUUGGUAAGUUUUUUCGGUUUAGGAUGAGCUCGCGGCCUAUCAGCUUGUUGGUGGGGUAAUGGCCUACCAAGGCGGCGACGGGUAGCCGGCCUGUGAGGGUGGACGGCGACACUGGGACUGAGAGACGGCCGAGACACCUACGGGAGGCAGCAGGGGGGAAGAUUGCACAAGGGGCGCAAGGCGGAUGCAGAGAGGCCGCGGGGGGGAUGACGGUCUUCGGGUUGAAAAACCCAUUCGCUAGGGACGAAGCUUUUUGUGACGGUACCUAGAGAAGAAGCACCGGCUAACUACGUG
rnacentral:rRNA from 1 species